rnacentral:lncRNA from 1 species
AUCAGGUCAAAGGCAAUAGGUUCAGUUUAGCUCAAACAAUUUGAACUUAACCUAAUUAAGAACUUGGGUUAACACAAUGUGCUAGCAUCUCAAAUUAACCGAUAUAAUUUAUAUUAAAUCUUAAUUAAAUUAGAUCAAGAUCAAAUUUCAAAGUGCAUGACCCAUUGCAUUUCAAAUUUAGCUAGCAGUAGACACAAACUCUUGACCUAACCCUAAUCUGAUCAGGCUAGGUCAGCUCAAGUG